rnacentral:misc_RNA from 1 species
UGGUUCUGGCAUCGAUGAAGAACGCAGCGAAAUGCGAUAAGUAAUGUGAAUUGCAGAAUUUAGUGAAUCAUCGAAUUUUUGAACGCAUAUUGCACCUUAAAGUAUUCUCUAAGGUAUACCUGUUUGAGCGUCGUUUUAAAACAUAAAAAGCAGUAGCUUUUUUUUUGUUAGAUCUUGAUUUAAUAUUAUAAUCAAUUUCUUAAAUAAAUCAGCAUCACUUUGUUGAUUCAAUUACACAGUAAAUAUGUGUGUGUAUCAACGAAAAUUGAUUUUGCCAGUUAUUAUAAUUUUUAUUCAGUUCGACCUCAAAUCAAGUAAGGCUACCCGCUGA